CACGUAGGGAGCAAGCGUUGUCCGGAAUCAUUGGGCGUAAAGCGCGCGUAGGUGGCUUCGUAAGUCCGUUGUGAAAGUCAAAGGCUCAACCUUUGAAAGCCGAUGGAUACUGUGGAGCUAGAGUACGGAAGAGGCGAGUGGAAUUCCUGGUGUAGCGGUGGAAUGCGCAGAUAUCAGGAGGAACACCAAUAGCGAAGGCAGCUCGCUGGGACGUUACUGACACUGAGGCGCGAAAGCGUGGGGAGCGAACAGG
rnacentral:rRNA from 1 species